rnacentral:rRNA from 1 species
UACGUAGGGCGCAAGCGUUGUCCGGAAUUAUUGGGCGUAAAGAGCUCGUAGGUGGCGUGUCGCGUCUGCCGUGAAAGCCCAUGGCUUAACUGUGGGUCUGCGGUGGAUACGGGCAGGCUAGAGGCUGGUAGGGGCAAGCGGAAUUCCUGGUGUAGCGGUGAAAUGCGCAGAUAUCAGGAGGAACACCGGUGGCGAAGGCGGCUUGCUGGGCCAGUUCUGACGCUGAGGAGCGAAAGCGUGGGGAGCAAACAGG